rnacentral:rRNA from 1 species
CUACGGGUGGCAGCAGUGGGGAAUAUUGCACAAUGGGGGGAACCCUGAUGCAGCAACGCCGCGUGGAGGAUGACACAUUUCGGUGCGUAAACUCCUUUUAUAUAAGAAGAUAAUGACGGUAUUAUAUGAAUAAGCACCGGCUAACUCCGUGCCAGCAGGCCGCGGUAAUACGGGGGGUGCAAGCGUUACUCGGAAUCACUGGGCGUAAAGAGCAUGUAGGCUGGUUUGUAAGUUGGAAGUGAAAUCCUAUGGCUUAACCAUAGAACUGCUUCCAAAACUACUUACCUAGAGUAUGGGAGAGGUAGAUGGAAUUUCUGGUGUAGGGGUAAAAUCCGUAGAGAUCAGAAGGAAUACCGAUUGCGAAGGCGAUCUACUGGAACAUUACUGACGCUCAGAUGCGAAAGCGUGGGGAGCAAACAGGAUUAGAUACCCUUGUAGUC